UUGAAAGCCACUGGCAUGGUGCUUAGUUCAAUAUCUCUUUCCUCCCCCUCCCCUUCUCUGUCUAGAAUGAGGAGUUCUGCUGUGGGUAGGAGAGUUGAACCCAAAUAAUAAUUGUUCUUAAGAUAAAGCUCAGCCAUCAGAAUAUUCUCACUGCACCACAAUGAGGAAUGGAGAGCUGGACCUCUUGGGGGCCAUUCCUAGAUGUGGAUUCUCUACUAGCAAGAGAGAUACAAUUUGCAAGAUGCCAAAAUCUUGGUUAUGCCUGGCAUGAAGAAUCUCUGAGGACAUCUUUACUUUUUUCUAACCCCAGGAAAAAGAAGGAGAAAGGAAGAGGGAAAGUAGAGGUACAGAUCUGAGUCAAUGACCAAGAAAGCAACUUGCAAAUAAUCCACAAGGCAGUUGUCCUACCAGUGACAGAUUGCAGUGCCCCUUGCUGGCCAGGAGGACCUUUUGCAUGUAAUGUCGACUCAAAGACCACAAGGUAAUGAAAUGUACAAGAAUCAGACUGGCGGGUUCCUUUUUAAUAUGGUGGUCACCGCAGGUCAGUAGGAAUGUUUCUGUUUGCUCCCAAAUCCUUUGAAUUCAUUAAACACAAGCUUUAACUGGGGAAACUAGGGUAAUUUGGGUCCUUAAACUAGAGUGUAAAGCUCCUUUGGAGAGAAGUAAAACCAAAAGAGGACAGGGAAAGCAUGCUUGAAAAGAACUUGAUCGUGGUGUAUGAAGCCAAAGCUAAUAAACAGUGCUGGAUGGGCUCUGGUGGCCUCA
rnacentral:lncRNA from 12 species